rnacentral:piRNA from 1 species
UGGAAGCAAUACUGAUACC